UUCUAAUAGUGGAGUUGGUGCAUAAGAGACUGGCAUGCUGCUUUUCAAUCAGGGGAAUACGAAGUGACAUUAGCCUUGUGCCAGUUGGUGUUUCUGUGAGAUUUGCCAGGAGACAGUUCAUUUACGGCGAUGCCCACGCCAUGCAGAUGUUGCCCUUCUGGGGGGUGUCCCUUCCAGGAGAAUGUGAAGCCCUCUCCUUCCUCCCUGAGUAAACCUUCACCCAGCAGAUGUUGCCCUCCAACAGCUCCAGUCUGUUGGAGGACCGCCUUUCAAGCGGUCCUGGUAACUGGUAACUGGUGAAUGGUAACAGGUAACUGGUAACUGGUGAAUGGUGAAUGGUAACAGGUAACAGGUAACUGGUAACAGGUAACUGGUAACUGGUAACUGGUAACAGGUAACAGGUAACUGGUAACUGGUAAAUGGUAACAGGUAAAUGGUAACAGGUAACUGGUAACUGGUAACUUGUAAAUGGUAAAUGGUAACUGGUAACUGGUAACUGGUAACUUGUAACUGGUAACUGGUAACUUGUAAAUGGUAACAGGUAACUGGUAACUGGUAACUGGUAACUGGUAACUUGUAACAGGUAACUGGUAACUGGUAACUUGUAAAUGGUAACAGGUAACUGGUAACUGGUAACAUGUAACUGGUAACAUGUAACUGGUAACUGGUAACUUGUAACUUGUAACUGGUAACUUGUAAAUGGUAACAGGUAACUGGUAAAUGGUAACUGGUAACUGGUAACUUGUAAAUGGUAACAGGUAACUGGUAAAUGGUAACUGGUAACUGGUAACUGGUAACUGGUAACUGGUAACUUGUAAAUGGUAACAGGUAACUGGUAACUGGAAACUUGUAAAUGGUAACUUGGAACUUGGAACUUGUAAAUGGUAACAGGUAACUGGUAACUGGUAAAUGGUAACAGGUAACUGGUAACUGGUAAAUGGUAACAGGUAACUGGUAAGUGGUAAGUGGUAACUGGUAACUGGUAACUGGCAACAGGUAACUGGUAACUGGUAAAUGGUAACAGGUAAGUGGUAAGUGGUAAGUGGUAACUGCAAACAAAAAUAAAACCUGAUAAUAAAGUGUCUUAGUAGGGCGUUGGGCUACAACCAGCUGCCAGAACCGUUUCAAUCAGCCUUGGCAUUGAUUCUACAAGUAUCUGGAACUCUUGGUGGGAUGUGACACCAUUCUUCCUCCUGGAAUUCCAUCAUGUGGUGUUUUGUUGAUGGUGGUGGAAAACGCUGUCUCCAGAAUCUCCCAUAAGUGUUCAAUUGGUUUGAAAUCUGGCGACUGAAACACACCUUUUAAAACCCCUGUGCUCCUUCGAGACUCCUGAGGUCUUUUCUUCUAGCAACGGUAGUCAAAAUAAUGAGCAACUGGGCAUUUUUUUUAAUAUCCUACAAGACCCUAAGCAUGAUGGGAUGUUCAUUGCUUAAUUAACUCAGGAACCACACCUGUGUGGAAUCACCUGCUUUCAAUAUACUUUAUAUCCCUCAUUUACUCAAGUGUUUCUUUUAUUUUGUCAGUUACCUGUACAUUUAUGCCAAAUAGAUUUGAAUAUUAGGUCCUAGAGUAGACCCAUGUUGGCAUAUAAAAACUUAAAAAUGAACAAAGUAUUAUAAUUUGUCUCGAGCCCUGGGUAGCCGUUUUCGGGAGUCCUCCAAUGUAUAAAUGUUUUGAACAUUUGACGCCAUAAUGAUUGG
rnacentral:lncRNA from 1 species